rnacentral:rRNA from 1 species
CGUGGUCGGAUUAUUGGGCGUAAGGGCUCGCAGGCGGUUCCUUAAGUCUGAUGUGAAAGCCCCCGGCUCAACCGGGGAGGGUCAUUGGAAACUGGGGAACUUGAGUGCAGAAGAGGAGAGUGGAAUUCCACGUGUAGCGGUGAAAUGCGUAGAGAUGUGGAGGAACACCAGUGGCGAAGGCGACUCUCUGGUCUGUAACUGACGCUGAGGAGCGAAAGCGUGGGGAGCGAACAGGAUUAGAUACCCUGGUAGUCCACGCCGUAAACGAUGAGUGCUAAGUGUUAGGGGGUUUCCGCCCCUUAGUGCUGCAGCUAACGCAUUAAGCACUCCGCCUGGGGAGUACGGUCGCAAGACUGAAACUCAAAGGAAAUUGACGGA